GAGGGGAACAACAGCUGGAACGGCUGCUAAUACCCCAUAGGCUGAGGAGCAAAAGGAGGAAUCCGCCCAAGGAGGGGCUCGCGUCUGAUUAGUUAGUUGGUGAGGCAAUGGCUUACCAAGGCGACGAUCAGUAGCUGGUCCGAGAGGAUGAUCAGCCACACUGGGACUGAGACACGGCCCAGACUCCUACGGGAGGCAGCAGUGGGGAAUUUUCCGCAAUGGGCGAAAGCCUGACGGAGCAAUGCCGCGUGAAGGCAGAAGGCCCACGGGUCAUGAACUUCUUUUCUCGGAGAAG
rnacentral:rRNA from 1 species